UUUGUGUAGAUUCUUUAAGGCAAGAGAUCUCAAUGUUGAGAAAACUAUUCCAAUGUGGGAAGACAUGCUUAAGUGGAGGAAAGAGUUUGGAGCAGACACAAUAUUGCAAUGUGUUUCGAUUGCAAUGCUAAGAAUCCAACUUGGAAAUCGAUGACGUGUGGGAUCUUCCUGUGCAUUGAUUGCUCCGCUGUUCAUCGCAGCCUUGGCGUUCAUAUCAGUUUUGUUAGCCAAGGGAUGCCGUUUUCGGCGAUGGGUGGGCUGGUGGAUUCGAUUGGAUUCGUUGAAUUUGGCAUUUUUCGAUAAAUUUUUGAUGGAGGGAGGGUCUAUCCAGUAGAUUUCAUCGUGAUAGUGACUGGUAACGAAAAUAAUGGUGUUUUACCGGGGAGUAUUAGCCAUAAUCGAUCAUAGGGUUGAAUUUUAGUUGGUGAUUUGUUGAUUUUACAGAUUCGGUGAGAAACGGGCUUAGCCAUCAUUUUUUUGAAUUUUUCGAUGAUGUGGUAGCGACGGAUUGGUAUAUCUCGACGAAAUUGCUAUAAAAUGUAAUUUUUAUAGUAUAUAUAUGUAUUUGUAUUUAGUAAUGA